GGCGCCGUAGACGAGCAGGGCGGUCAGGAGGCCGGCGGUCUCCUGGACGAUCCGGCUGACGAGUUCGGGCUCGGCGGCCUCCCC
rnacentral:tRNA from 1 species